CUACGGGUCGCACCAGUAAGGAAUAUUGCGCAAUGGAGGAAACUCUGACGCAGCAACGCCGCGUGGGUGAUGACGCUCUAUGGAGUGUAAAGCCCUGUUAGAAGGGAAGAACAGAUUAUAGUAAAGCUAUAAUUUUGACGGUACCUUCAGAGAAAGCCCCGGCUAACUCCGUGCCAGCAGCCGCGGUAAUACGGGGGGGGCAAGCGUUGUCCGGAAUCACUGGGCGUAAAGGGCGUGUAGGCGGGAUGGUCAGUUAGAGGUGAAAACCUGCGGCUUAACCGUAGGCGUGCCUUUAAUACUGCCAUUCUUGAGUGCGAGAGGGGAAAGUGGAAUUCUUGGUGUAGCGGUGAAAUGCGUAGAUAUCAAGAAGAACACCGGUAGCGAAGGCUGCUUUCUGGCUAGUAACUGACGCUGAGGCGCGAAAGCGUGGGGAGCAAACAGGAUUAGAUACCCCCGUAGUC
rnacentral:rRNA from 1 species